rnacentral:lncRNA from 1 species
CUCGAACCCCUGACUUCGUGAUCCACCCGCCUCGGCCUUCCAAAGUGCUGGGAUACAGGCGUGAGCCACCGCGUCCGGCCAGCUGAAGUUCUAAUGAAAGUAAAUGCAUGUGUUUUGGGAGCCACGGUGACUCAGGCUGGUUGUUCUGGUGCAUAAGGAGGUGAGGCUAUGCGUUCCAGGCCCACCUGGGAAACAUAAAAACCUUUCAUCCAUUAAAAAAAAAAAAAAAGUAAAUGCCUGUGUUUUAAUAAAUGUGUAAGUUCCUAAUUAUAGUAAUAUGCUCAAUGUUUUUCCACACUAGAGACUGUCUAGUUGACAUGAAAAAAUUAUAUUUGACAAGGCAAGUAGAGUCCAUUAUUAGCUGGUUCUAGAGACAAAGUUUUGUGCAUAAUGACCUGGUACUUUCAUUCUGAUAACAUAUUUCUUUAAAUGAGGUUAAAAAUACAAAUAUUUGAGGCCAGGUGCGGUGGCUCACGCCUGUAAUCCCAGCAUUUUGGGAGGCCAAGGCAGGCAGAUCAUGAGGUCAGGAGACUGAGACCAUCCUGGCUAACAUGGUGAAACCCCGUCUCUACUAAAAAUACAAAAAAAAUUAGCCGCGCAUGGUGGUGGGCGCCUGCAGUCCCAGCUACUCAGGAGGCUGAGGCAGGAGAAUGGCGUGAACCCGGGAGGUGGAGCUUGCAGUGAGCCGAGAUCACGCCACUGCACUCCAGCCUGGGUGACAGAGCGAGACUGCAUCUCAAAAAAAAAAAAAAAAUUUUAUACACACACACACACACACACACACACACACACACACACACACGUAUUUGAACUACACAGGGAACACAUAUAGUUUCAUAUUAUGAAUUUAAAUAAAGCCAUCAGGCCGGCGUGGUGACUCACGCCUGUAAUCCCAGCACUUUGGGAGGCCGAGGUAGGAGAAUCGCUUGAACCCGGGAGGCACAGGUUGCAGUCAGCCGAGAUCACGCCACUGCACUCUAGUCUGGGCGACAGAGCAAGACUUUUGUCUCAAAAAAAUGAAAAAUAAAAAUAAUAAUGACAAAUUUCGCUAUUGUUAACAGUAAAAUUAACCUAGUGGCUCUUAUCCUUUGACUCCUUCUCUACUUCCCAGCGAGAUUCUCAGUGACCCCUCAUCAUCACCUCUCCUAAGUAUGAGACAUCUUCCUAUGCCUGUCCUACCCCAGACCCUCUUCACAAUAAAAACGUCCAUUGUGUCAGUGUGGAUUCAGUGUAUAGGGUAAAUCACGAUUUAAUUCACUCCAGCGAAUAAGUGAUACCUCUUUCAUAUAUCCUGGAAUGUUUCACAUUUAAAAGCUUAUCCUAAUAAAUCUAAAAGUAGAAACGUUCAGGCAGAGGGGAAAGAAUUUUUUUUUUUUUUUUGAGAUGGAGUCUUGCUCUGUCACUCAGGCUGGAGUGCAGUGGCGCGAUCUCUGCUCACUGCAAGCUACGCCUCCCAGGUUCAUGCCAUUCUCCU